rnacentral:rRNA from 1 species
CCUACGGGUGGCAGCAGUAGGGAAUCUUCCGCAAUGGACGAAAGUCUGACGGAGCAACGCCGCGUGAGCGAAGAAGGUCUUCGGACCGUAAAGCUCUGCUGUUAGGGAAGAACAGGUACGGGAGGAAAUGACCGUACCUUGACGGUACCUGACGAGGAAGCCACGACUAACUACGUGCCAGCAGCCGCGGUAAUACGUAGGUGGCAAGCGUUGUCCGGAAUUAUUGGGCGUUAAGCGCGCGCAGGCGGUCUUUUAAGUCUGAUGUGAAAACUUGCGGCCCAACCGCAAGCGGUCAUUGGAAAAUGGGAGACUUGAGUGCAGAAGAGGAAAGCGGAAUUCCACGUGUAGCGGUGAAAUGCGUAGAGAUGUGGAGGAACACCAGUGGCGAAGGCGGCUUUCUGGUCUGUAACUGACGCCGAGGCGGGGAAGCGUGGGGAGCAAACAGGAUUAGAUACCCCGGGAGUC